rnacentral:rRNA from 1 species
AGUGAACGCUGGCGGUAUGCCUAACACAUGCAAGUCGAACGGCAGCACCGUAAGAGCUUGCUCUUACGGGUGGCGAGUGGCGGACGGGUGAGGAAUACAUCGGAAUCUACUUUUUCGUGGGGGAUAACGUAGCGAAACUUACGCUAAUACCGCAUACGACCUACGGGUGAAAGCAGGGGAUCUUCGGACCUUGCGCGAUUGAAUGAGCCGAUGUCGGAUUAGCUAGUUGGCGGGGUAAAGGCCCACCAAGGCGACGAUCCGUAGCUGGUCUGAGAGGAUGAUCAGCCACACGGGAACUGAGACACGGUCCCGACUCCUACGGGAGGCAGCAGUGGGGAAUAUUGGACAAUGGGCGCAAGCCUGAUCCAGCCAUACCGCGUGGGUGAAGAAGGCCUUCGGGUUGUAAAGCCCUUUUGUUGGGAAAGAAAAGCAGCAGGUUAAUACCCCGCUGUUCUGACGGUACCCAAAGAAUAAGCACCGGCUAACUUCGUG